GCUGAAUAUAGUGACACACGCCUGUAAUCCCAGCACUCUUGGAGGCUGAGGCAGAAGGAUGAGCAAAGCUUGGGGGAGGAGAAGAGAGAGUGUGUGAAUUUCCUGGGUGUCGUCUGGGUGCCUGGCCCAGUUCCAGCAGAGGGAUGAAGAGGAAGAACACUGUCCCUCCAGAGCAGUCACAGUGCACUCUGUGCUACAGGGGCAGCAUGUUCCUUCAGGCAAAUGUGCAUAUCAGUGGCUCAAUAAAUAGGAAUGCAGUUAAAUGAGGCACAGACAGCAGGAUAAUAAAAAGAAAUUAGUGACUUCCACAAAGGGAGCAGCACAGCAGCUCAC
ensembl:lncRNA